AUGAGCCUCCUCCGGCCGUCCUGCCUCUGCUGGCUUCCCCAGCCCGGGACAGGACGGACAUCCCACCUUCCACACCCCAGAUCGCUGCGUGUUUGCCAGGGAGGCUGUCCACCCCAAAGGCCGGAGCCCCAGUCCUGCCGACCCCAUUCCCUGGGACAGGCAGCCCUGCCUCCUGAGUGGCGGAGGGACCUUUCGAGUCCUCUCAGUGCCUGGCCACGUGAUGGGGAGUUCAGGGCUGCUCUUCACGCCCUCCUCCCGUGGAGUGUUCUAAGAGGCGGCCUUCUCAGUCUCCUUCCCGUUUGGGUUGAUUGGUUACUUAACCUCUCUUUCAGGUGGAUGGAAGAGUGUUCUGAUUUCAUGGCCCUUGGUUCUCAGCCGCUUCUUUCUCUGAAUCACUUUCUGAAGCUCGGUCAGGGUGGUUCCCGCCAGCUCCGCUGCCUCCCCUGCAGGAAUGGGGUGCCCUCCUUGCUGUUCAGAUACAUAAGGCAGGCAGGUCAUGGCCUUUCCAGCGCCCAUCCUGGCCGAGGCAGCAGAGACGCCAGGCCAUGCGCCACUGACCUUUCUGAACAGCCAGAGGUCAGUUUGGAAGACCGAGAAGCUAGAGCCACAGAGACGGUGAUGGGCUCGGGCCCCGCGCCUCACACCCUGUUUACUGGGCUGAGGGUGGUCAUGGUCUCCACAAGGUCUGAGCAGGUGGAACAAAUGCGGCCCGUCGGUGUCGGCAGAGCAUCUCCAGCUGCCCUUUUCCUUCUUGCUGGCAAGCAUCUCCUGGGCUCCACCCGUAAACUCGCCACCGUGAGGAGGCUCCCCAGAGCGUCUGCCCUGGGCCAAGCUUGGGUUCCUCGGCUCCCGUGGCUGCCUGGGACACUCACCAGCGACCCUACCUGGACCCUGCAGUGCCCAGGGAAGGGCCAGGGCAGGGAGCAUCCUGCACCCCAACCCAGGCCCUGCACCCCCCUGUGCACCCCAUCUAGGCCCGGCACCAUCCGCUUGGGUGGAGCAGCAAAAGUCAGGUCGUGCAUCUCCCAAAUACCAUCCUUAGUCAUCCCAGAAGACGGGCUUACACGGGUCAUUCAUAAGAAUGAGCAUAAGAAUUAG
rnacentral:lncRNA from 1 species